rnacentral:rRNA from 1 species
GACGAACGCUGGCGGCGUGCUUAACACAUGCAAGUCGAACGGAAAGGCCCUGCUUUUGUGGGGUGCUCGAGUGGCGAACGGGUGAGUAACACGUGAGUAACCUGCCCUUGACUUUGGGAUAACUUCAGGAAACUGGGGCUAAUACCGGAUAGGAGCUCCUGCUGCAUGGUGGGGGUUGGAAAGUUUCGGCGGUUGGGGAUGGACUCGCGGCUUAUCAGCUUGUUGGUGGGGUAGUGGCUUACCAAGGCUUUGACGGGUAGCCGGCCUGAGAGGGUGACCGGCCACAUUGGGACUGAGAUACGGCCCAGACUCCUACGGGAGGCAGUAGUGGGGAAUAUUGUACAAUGGGCGGAAGCCUGAUGCAGCAACGCCGCGUGCGGGAUGACGGCCUUCGGGUUGUAAACCGCUUUCGCCUGUGACGAAGCGUGAGUGACGGUAAUGGGUAAAGAAGCACCGGCUAACUACGUG